ACUUAGACGUAUCGUGCGACCUGCUUCGAGAGAAGCCUCUAUGGCUGCCCUCUAUAAGUGGCGUUGAUAUCUGGGUCUUGCGCAAUGGAAAUCCACGAACCGUGUCAGGGUAGGAAUACAGCAGCACUAAGGGAAUCUUUCAUGUGCCGUAAGGGUGCCUGGGUUGAGUUAACUGUAGAGGUAACGCAUAGGGGUUUCUCCCGAGGCGGGUCUAAUU
rnacentral:SRP_RNA from 1 species